GACGAACGCUGGCGGCGUGCUUAACACAUGCAAGUCGAACGGAAAGGCCCCCUUGUGGGGUACUCGAGUGGCGAACGGGUGAGUAACACGUGAGUAACCUACCCUUGACUUUGGGAUAACUUCAGGAAACUGGGGCUAAUACCGGAUAGGAGCUCCUGCUGCAUGGUGGGGGUUGGAAAGUUUCGGCGGUUGGGGAUGGACUCGCGGCUUAUCAGCUUGUUGGUGGGGUAGUGGCUCACCAAGGCUUUGACGGGUAGCCGGCCUGAGAGGGUGACCGGCCACAUUGGGACUGAGAUACGGCCCAGACUCCUACGGGAGGCAGCAGUGGUGAAUAUGGCACAAUGGGCGGAAGCCUGAGGCAGCAACGCCGCGUGCGGGAUGACGGCCUUCGGGUUGUAAACCGCUUUCGCCUGUGACGAAGCGUUAGUGACGGUAAUGGGUAAAGAAGCUCCGGCUAACUACGUG
rnacentral:rRNA from 1 species